rnacentral:misc_RNA from 1 species
GAUGAAGAACGUAGCGAAAUGCGAUAAGUAAUGUGAAUUGCAGAAUUCAGUGAAUCAUCGAAUCUUUGAACGCACCUUGCACCCUUUGGCAUUCCGAAGGGUAUGCUCGUUUGAGUGUCAUUGUACUCUCACACUCCCGAUCUUUGGAUUGGGAGCGGUGGACUUGGGUUUGCUGCUUGCCGUGGCUCACCUCAAAUGGAUUAGUGCAACUCUUGGUUGACCAUAGUACGGCGUGAUAAGUGUCUUCGCCGGCACCUCACUGGGUGGGCCGAUCGGGAGCUCUGUGCUUCAAACCGUCCUCGGACAACAACUGACAACUUGACCUCAAAUCGAGUAGGACUACCCGCUGAACUUAAGCAUAUCAAUAAGCGGAGGA